rnacentral:rRNA from 1 species
UACGGAGGGGGCUAGCGUUGUUCGGAAUUACUGGGCGUAAAGCGCGCGUAGGCGGACCUGCAAGUCGGGGGUGAAAGCCCGAGGCUCAACCUCGGAACUGCCUUCGAUACUGCGGGUCUCGAGUCCGGGAGAGGUGAGUGGAAUUCCUAGUGUAGAGGUGAAAUUCGUAGAUAUUCGGAGGAACACCAGUGGCGAAGGCGGCUCACUGGCUCGAUACUGACGCUGAGGUGCGAAAGCGUGGGGAGCAAACAGG